rnacentral:rRNA from 1 species
AAAUUGAAGAGUUUGAUCAUGGCUCAGAUUGAACGCUGGCGGCAGGCCUAACACAUGCAAGUCGAACGGUAACAGAAAGCAGCUUGCUGCUUUGCUGACGAGUGGCGGACGGGUGAGUAAUGUCUGGGAAACUGCCUGAUGGAGGGGGAUAACUACUGGAAACGGUAGCUAAUACCGCAUAACGUCGCAAGACCAAAGAGGGGGACCUUCGGGCCUCUUGCCAUCGGAUGUGCCCAGAUGGGAUUAGCUUGUUGGUGGGGUAACGGCUCACCAAGGCGACGAUCCCUAGCUGGUCUGAGAGGAUGACCAGCCACACUGGAACUGAGACACGGUCCAGACUCCUACGGGAGGCAGCAGUGGGGAAUAUUGCACAAUGGGCGCAAGCCUGAUGCAGCCAUGCCGCGUGUAUGAAGAAGGCCUUCGGGUUGUAAAGUACUUUCAGCGGGGAGGAAGGGAGUAAAGUUAAUACCUUUGCUCAUUGACGUUACCCGCAGAAGAAGCACCGGCUAACUCCGUGCCAGCAGCCGCGGUAAUACGGAGGGUGCAAGCGUUA